CGUUGUGGGUUUCUCUGUGUUGCUGUUUGAGCUGUUGGUUCUCCUGGAGGAGCUCUGGUUCCUUCAUCGAGCAUCACUUCCUGGCUCCGGAGGGGAAGACAUGUGCCGCUUUAUCUCCAGGACAGACUUGUCAAGCUGGCUUUCUGGGCAGCCCCGGUCUUUAUUAUGAGCAUGACUUCCCGGCUCCAGUGUAGAAUCCUCAACCUACCAGCACAACUCCUUCACCCCACUGACAUAGACUUUAUAGCUUCCACUGCUGACCUUUGGGCCUUCCCGACACAGAUUCAUAAAACAGACUGGAGGAAGAAGCGGGUGUGGAGGCACACUCCUAUAAUCCCAGCACUUGGGAGGCUGAGGCAGGUGGAUCAUUGCAAAUUGGAGACCAGCCUGGGCUACAAAGAGAGCCCAAAGCCAUCCUGAACCACACAGUGAGAUCCUGUCUCAAAAAGCAAAAAAAGAAAAGAAAGAAAAAAAAGAGGAGUUGUGGAAAUAUUGAUUGGAGAAAUUUUAUGCCCAUAUCUUGUACCCCAAGCAACUUCUUUAAAGAUAACAACAUGUAAUGUAUUAAUUAUAAUUUUCUCUAUUAUUUUGUACAUUUGAAUGCAAUCAGAGAGAAUUCCUAGAAAGGGAAAUCCUAAUAAUAGUAAUUAGAAGCUCAAUGGAUGAUGUAAAAGGUUAGGUCUAUGAAGUAAGGGCUAGUGAAUGAACCAAGAGACAGAUAUGAUGAAAUUGUCCAGGUUGCUGCACAGAGAGACAAAGACAUAGAAAAGUUAAAGAGGGGUCAGAAG